UUUUGGAAGAAUUGACAGAUUGAGAGUUUUUUUUUUAUUCGGUGGAUGGUGGUGCAUGUCCGUUCUGAGUUGGUGAAGCGAUUUGUCUGGUUAAUUCUGAUAACGAACGAGACUCUAGCCUAUUAAAUAGAUUCUUGGUUCUCUGCACCUUACACCCUUCUUAGAGUGACAAGCGGCUCCUAGCCGCACGAAACAGAGCAAUAACAGGUGUGUGAUGCCCUUAGAU
rnacentral:rRNA from 1 species